GUGGGGAAUAUUGGACAAUGGGCGAAAGCCUGAUCCAGCCAUGCCGCGUGUGUGAAGAAGGUCUUCGGAUUGUAAAGCACUUUAAGUUGGGAGGAAGGGCAGUAAGUUAAUACCUUGCUGUUUUGACGUUACCAACAGAAUAAGCACCGGCUAACUUCGUGCCAGCAGCCGCGGUAAUACGAAGGGUGCAAGCGUUAAUCGGAAUUACUGGGCGUAAAGCGCGCGUAGGUGGUUCAGCAAGUUGGAGGUGAAAUCCCCGGGCUCAACCUGGGAACUGCCUCCAAAACUACUGAGCUAGAGUACGGUAGAGGGUAGUGGAAUUUCCUGUGUAGCGGUGAAAUGCGUAGAUAUAGGAAGGAACACCAGUGGCGAAGGCGACUACCUGGACUGAUACUGACACUGAGGUACGAAAGCGUGGGGAGCAAACAGGAUUAGAUACCCGAGUAGUCC
rnacentral:rRNA from 1 species